CAGCAGCCGCGGUAAUACGUAGGGUGCAAGCGUUAAUCGGAAUUACUGGGCGUAAAGCGUGCGCAGGCGGUUUGUUAAGACAGAUGUGAAAUCCCCGGGCUCAACCUGGGAACUGCAUUUGUGACUGGCAAGCUAGAGUAUGGCAGAGGGGGGUGGAAUUCCGCGUGUAGCAGUGAAAUGCGUAGAUAUGCGGAGGAACACCGAUGGCGAAGGCAGCCCCCUGGGCCAAUACUGACGCUCAUGCACGAAAGCGUGGGGAGCAAACAGGAUUAGAUACCCCAGUAGUCCCUGUCUCUUAUAC
rnacentral:rRNA from 1 species